ACAACAAUUCAAUAACUCACUCAAACAAGACUUUUCGUGGUUCAUCCAUCAACACUACAAUCAUCAUGUCUCCCUGCUCUUGCAACUGCUGCUCCGGCAACUGCGGCUCCUGCUCCUGUUCCAGCUGCACCGUAAGUCUCCCGCAUCUUAUU
rnacentral:sRNA from 1 species